GUGCCAGCCGCCGCGGUAAUACGGAGGGUGCAAGCGUUAAUCGGAAUUACUGGGCGUAAAGCGCGCGUAGGCGGCGUGAUAAGCCGGUUGUGAAAGCCCCGGGCUCAACCUGGGAACGGCAUCCGGAACUGUCAGGCUAGAGUGCAGGAGAGGAAGGUAGAAUUCCCGGUGUAGCGGUGAAAUGCGUAGAGAUCGGGAGGAAUACCAGUGGCGAAGGCGGCCUUCUGGACUGACACUGACGCUGAGGUGCGAAAGCGUGGGUAGCAAACAGGAUUAGAAACCCCAGUAGUCC
rnacentral:rRNA from 1 species